GCGGGUAGAUGGCGCGACAAUUGUUUGAAAGCAGACGAUCCCGAGCCAACAAGUCAGCCUUAGUUACCCGGGGACGAGAAUACUUGUCGAGACCUAUAAUGUAGUGAAUGGCAUCCAUCCACGUUGCUGCUAACGUAGAAACAAGGAGACUUAUCAGGAAAGGCAGUCCUGGAGAAAGACACGGCAUCAAGGAAAACGUCAGUACUAAUCUAUAGGAAACAAUCAACGAGUGAC